AAUACAUGCAAGUCGAACGCACAGCGAAAGGUGCUUGCACCUUUCAAGUGAGUGGCGAACGGGUGAGUAACACGUGGACAACCUGCCUCAAGGCUGGGGAUAACAUUUGGAAACAGAUGCUAAUACCGAAUAAAACUUAGUGUCGCAUGACAAAAAGUUAAAAGGCGCUUCGGCGUCACCUAGAGAUGGAUCCGCGGUGCAUUAGUUAGUUGGUGGGGUAAAGGCCUACCAAGACAAUGAUGCAUAGCCGAGUUGAGAGACUGAUCGGCCACAUUGGGACUGAGACACGGCCCAAACUCCUACGGGAGGCUGCAGUAGGGAAUCUUCCACAAUGGGCGAAAGCCUGAUGGAGCAACGCCGCGUGUGUGAUGAAGGCUUUCGGGUCGUAAAGCACUGUUGUAUGGGAAGAACAGCUAGAAUAGGAAAUGAUUUUAGUUUGACGGUACCAUACCAGAAAGGGACGGCUAAAUACGUGCCAGCAGCCGCGGUAAUACGUAUGUCCCGAGCGUUAUCCGGAUUUAUUGGGCGUAAAGCGAGCGCAGACGGUUUAUUAAGUCUGAUGUGAAAGCCCGGAGCUCAACUCCGGAAUGGCAUUGGAAACUGGUUAACUUGAGUGCAGUAGAGGUAAGUGGAACUCCAUGUGUAGCGGUGGAAUGCGUAGAUAUAUGGAAGAACACCAGUGGCGAAGGCGGCUUACUGGACUGCAACUGACGUUGAGGCUCGAAA
rnacentral:rRNA from 1 species